CUUCGGCCCGGGACGGACCAUCGGCCGCCCUGUCGGGGGAGUCCGGACGCACAAAGUUUCCAAAAAGUUCUGCCAGUCGCUGCCGCACCCCACUCGGGGCAGAGCUUAACUUAGCAAAGCAUGGCUCUUCUUCCUGAAUGGACCCAAGCAGACUGUUGCUUGACUUAUUACUGAAGCUGCACAUCACCCAGAAGCAAGAAUUCAUCACUAAAGGGAGUGCCACAUACUUCAAGAAGUAGUUAAACCUGCCUUACCCUCCUCCAACCCUCCAGCACUUGUCAGGUGCUCUGCCUAGUGCCUAGCUCAGAGGAUGCUAAGUGGAGCAACACAAUGGACAGACUUAUUGACAGUAGCACAGUGUGAUGAGAAUGGUAAGAAGAAGAGAUAUUUAGGAAGACAGAUCUUCAAAUAUGUGGCGCUUUGGGAGUCAUGAUGAUGAGUGUGCAGUAUGUGAACCAGGAAUGGCUUCUUCAGUGUGUCCUUUAGCUCCCAGUGGCUGCCUCUCUCCCUAGAUUCCAAACUCGGUGUUACCAGUAUGCAGUCUCAUUGCUUCCUUAUGGCAGGACACAGAGUAAUUAAAUACAUGUUUUCAUAUUAUAUUUCCUUAUUAUAUUCUACUUUUUUUUACCACAGUGUACAUUAUUUUUAUCUUUACUAGAUCAAAAAAGUCAUACCUUCUUUAAAAAUAAAGUGUGAUGGUGAC
ensembl:lincRNA Gm26854 predicted gene, 26854